UACGUAGGGUGCGAACGUUGUCCGGAUUUACUGGGCGUAAAGAGUAUGUAGGUGGCCCCAUAAGUGAGAGAUUAAAGACCAACGCUUAACGUUGGAACUGUUUCUCAUACUGUAGGGCUGGAGGAUGGCAGGGGUGCAUGGAACUUUGAGUGUAGGAGUGAUAUCCGUAGAUAUUCAAAGGAACACCAAUGGCGAAGGCAGUGCACUGGGCCAUAUCUGACACUGAGAUACGAAAGUGUGGGGAGCAAAC
rnacentral:rRNA from 1 species